rnacentral:rRNA from 1 species
AGAACGAACGCUGGCGGCAUGCCUAAUACAUGCAAGUCGAACGAACUCUUCGGAGUUAGUGGCGCACGGGUGCGUAACGCGUGGGAAUCUGCCCCUUGGUUCGGAAUAACAGUUGGAAACGACUGCUAAUACCGGAUGAUGACGAAAGUCCAAAGAUUUAUCGCCAAGGGAUGAGCCCGCGUAGGAUUAGCUAGUUGGUGAGGUAAAGGCUCACCAAGGCGACGAUCCUUAGCUGGUCUGAGAGGAUGAUCAGCCACACUGGGACUGAGACCACGGCCAGACUCCGUACGGGAGGCAGCAGUAGGGAAUAGUUGGACAAGUGGGCGCAAGCCUGAUCCAGCAAUCGCCGCGUGAGUGAUGAAGGCCGUUAGGGUUAGUAAGCUUACGUUUACCCGAGAUAGAAUAA